rfam:Gossypium raimondii chromosome 5, whole genome shotgun sequence.
AUUCCGUUAUGAGGGCAUCUUUGUAAUAGUUAUUUAAACCUUUCCCACACCUCAUAUAAGGACUCAUCAUCCAUAUGUUGGAAGGUAGUGAUAUCGUUCUACAACU